AAAAAAAAAAAAAAAGAAAUAAAAAAGCAGAAGAAAAUCCUAGAGAUGCUGCCGUCGCUUGGGAAAACAAACAGCUAUCCAGGCACUUAAAAAAGAGGGAAACAAGGAGCGGUGACCAGAUGCAGGCAUCUGGUGAAAGAAUGAAUGCUGGGGACUGCAAUGGAUGCUCUUAUGCAUCAGGCAAUGGUAGAGAGUCAACCACGGAACAGGACUUUUACGGUCCAAACAGUCAGCAUUCCUCAACACCUUGCUCCUUUACUGAACACUCUAUCAAGGUGGAGCUGUGCAGCGAAGAUGGAUCACCACAGCCUGAGAACAGAGGGGCUGUCAGAGAUAGUAGCUGUGGGGAUGACAGAACAGAGCUGAAUGCAGAAGGGAGUGCAGAGCACACUGGGGUCGGACAAGGUAAUCUUUACAGUGAGAUGGCCACUUCCAAUCAUGCUUCCCCUGGACCCAUUCGGCUUGCCAGUGGCAAGCUCCAAUGUGAUGUGUGUGGGAUCAUCUGCAUUGGACCCAAUGUGCUGAUGGUGCACAAGCGAAGUCACACUGGUGAGAGACCUUUUCAAUGUAACCAGUGUGGAGCAUCCUUUACCCAAAAGGGCAACCUGUUACGCCACAUCAAGCUGCAUUCUGGAGAGAAACCUUUCAAAUGCCCCGUUUGCAACUACGCUUGCCGGCGGAGGGAUGCCCUGGCUGGACAUCUAAGAACACAUGCAGUUUCUUCACCGUUGGGGGGAAAACCUUUCAAGUGCAGCUACUGUAGUCGCAGCUACAAACAACAAAGCACUUUGGAUGAUCACCUAGAGCGCUGCCACAGUUUUCAAAAGAGCCAGGACCUGCAGGCUGCAGUCAACACGCUGACAGAACAGCACAGUGGUGAGUCGCUAGAUAUCGAGCCAAUAGCCAAACCUGCACUGGAGCCGUCCAAUGAGAAACCACACUUUGUUGAUAGAUUAGCUGCUAGCAUCACCAAACGAAAGAGGUCGACGCCACAGAAGUUUCUUGCUGACAAGUACAUCCAUCUUGACCUUCCUGAAGCACCUUAUGAUUUGUCCUCUGGUUCAGAGAGGGACGGGGAGCAUUUGACCCCCCAGCCAGCUAAUGAGUGCACUGGAUCGGGCAAGAAACAACUGCAAGACUCCAGGAGGAAACUGUCUCAAAUCCAUCCUGCCUUUUUGUCUGAGCUGCGCACCGUUAUGAGCUCCAUCCAAAGCAAUGUGCCUCCUCCAGGAGCCUCGAGCGGGCUCACAAUGGCGCCUCUGGUACUAUCCGGUCAAGAUGUAGGUGAAGGGUGCGAUGGUCAGCCCUCAGCCCACAGCCACACCACCUCACCCAACGGAUGUCCCGACUCUACAGACACAGAGAGCACAGCUGAAGAGCACAACGCAAGGGCUGCAGCACACACAAGUACCUCCAACAACAACCAGCACCUCCACUACCAAACCGUAGGACUGCCCCACAGCCCUCCCACCUCCAGCCCCAGCCAGGCCAAAGAAACGGACCUAGACUGGGACAGGGCGUGCCCUGCACCCCUCACUCCAAUGAAGAGGAGUGCUGGCUCUCUAUUCCCCUCCAGGGAGGCGGUGCAGGUUCUGCACAGAGACGGCCAGCGCCUACGCUCUUUCCACUGCCGCCACUGCCACAUCCUCUUCCUGGAUCACGUCAUGUUUACCAUUCACAUGGGCUGUCAUGGCUUCCACCAACCAUUUGAGUGCAACAUCUGUGGCCACCGCAGCCGGGAUCGCUAUGAGUUCUCCUCACACAUCAGCAGGGGAGAGCACCAGGUGGCCUGAGGUCGCAGGAUGAUGAAGUAAUGGAGAUGUUAGGAGGCCAUGUUCAUUGUAAUGCUGCGUGGCUGUUACUCUGGAACUGCCAUCUGCCGAAAAGACACUGAUGUAACGUUCGAGUACUGGUGCAGUUCAAACAGCUGACAUGACAGCACCAGUGGAAUGUACAGUUGCACCGCUCCGUGAUGCUCUCGGCCUGGGUCUUAAACCCGCGCCCGCAGCAGAGCAGCUCGCAUCCAUCAAGACCUGGAGAAGAGCUGUUGCACGCUCUACCAGAAGUUCCCACAGUGCCAGUUUUGCCAUUGUAGGAGCAGAAGUUUGGUGAUUUCUCAAAGUAGACCAAGUCCAUAGCGGAAGGGGGUUUAUGAGCAGGGUUUUCCGGUUCCAAGUGGCGAGGGUCUGCUCGGUGCGAGGCACGGUUGCUACCCUUGUUUGCGUAAACGACUCGGGAUGCGCCAUCGAAGCGGUCCUUUAGGAAGUCCCCGAUGGUGCGGAAGCUUGGAAGGCGCAUCCAACAAGUGCGGACGGUGCAGGAGCCUGACAUGCCGUGACACUUGCACUCCUGACGCAUCUCUGAGGACACCAUCUGCACAGAGAGGAGACCACAAUCACUAAUCAAGUAGUUCCCAAGAAAAAGACAUUCCAUACCAUUCUUCCCGCCUCGUUAUUGUGCACAUUGGUGAGGUAGCGCAGAUCUCGUCCUCUCUCGCUGGAAUCCACAAACUCACGGCUAAAAACCCUCCCAAAGUCCACAUUGUCGCUGCAGCCUCCCCAGUGCCAGUCGGGGCCCCCUAAACCUCUGCGGCGGUAAUCGCAAGUGCACGAUUCUAUGGCACCUUCUGAGCAGGAGCGAGCCACCGCGUGGGUCACGCCUGCGCUGGUGAUGGCAAACACAAAGGCUGUCUCCCUGCAGCCUGAAGAAAGCAAGACUUGCCGUCAGAACCUACAUCACAACCCCAAGCAAGAGAGAACAGACUGAAACGGAGGCCUUGUUGCACACCACUUGUCC